rnacentral:lncRNA from 10 species
CCCAGACAUCAAAGCUGAGCUUUCUUUGUCUCCGGCAGCCUGGGCCACUCCAGAGGUGUUAAAGCUCCAGCACUUCGAGCCUGCCUCGUGGGAAAGUCUUAGGCUGAGUCUGGGCUGGAAACCUAACAAUUUCACUUCCUAGACAACUUGCUAAAAGUCACCUAAAGACAGUCUGGUUACUGCCAAAGAUAUGCUUUCAAAUAAGAUUUGGAUAAAGAAGGGAGGUAGAUGCCUUUUUUCAGCAGUGGAGUGAUGUCUAGACCAGUAGAUGUACGCAUCUAAGUGAAUUCAUCACCAGCAACAAUUUCCAGAAACUUCCUGACCUCCAGAUUGCAGCUUCAUUAGUGUGAGUUUAAAGCCAACUAGAUGCCAUUCUCAGAUUCCACGCAUAUGGCCAAGGGUCCAGGAAAUAAGAAGAAACAGGUUGAGGGGUUGGUGUUAUGGGGCAUUUACUUGAAUUUUCUAUGCUAUAAUUGUCUCAUCUUUAAAACGGUGAUAAUAAUAAAAUUGUCAGUUAUUAAAUAAAUUAACACAGUGAAAAAA